GGUGAACGCUGGCGGUAGGCCUAACACAUGCAAGUCGAACGGCAGCACAGUAAGAGCUUGCUCUUACGGGUGGCGAGUGGCGGACAGGUGAGGAAUACAUCGGAAUCUACUUUUUCGUGGGGGAUAACGUAGGGAAACUUACGCUAAUACCGCAUACGACCUACGGGUGAAAGCAGGGGAUCUUCGGACCUUGCGCGAUUGAAUGAGCCGAUGUCGGAUUAGAUAGUUGGCGGGGUAAAGGCCCACCAAGGCGACGAUCCGUAGCUGGUCUGAGAGGAUGAUCAGCCACACUGGAACUGAGACACGGUCCAGACUCCUACGGGAGGCAGCAGUGGGGAAUAUUGGACAAUGGGCGCAAGCCUGAUCCAGCCAUACCGCGUGGGUGAAGAAGGCCUUCGGGUUGUAAAGCCCUUUUGUUGGGAAAGAAAAGCAGCAGGUUAAUACCCCGCUGUUCUGACGGUACCCAAAGAAUAAGCACCGGCUAACUUCGUG
rnacentral:rRNA from 1 species